CCCUAAAGAAUUGUCAUUCUCUUCUCCCUCCCUCAGAUCAACCACCUCUCUCUCUCUCCCAAACUCCACUGAAAACUUCUGUCUUCUCCGGCUCCUGUCUUCCGCUAGGGUGCCUCACUCUUCUUCUCUCCUCUCCCUAAGCACCGUUGCCCUCUCUCCAGCAGCGCCUCCCCCUCUCAUUCCUUUUUUCUCUCUUUCUGGCAGCGAGUAGUUACACCGGAGAGCUGCCAGGAGACCAGCAAUAGCCCGUAGCCAGGCGAGGCCAUGGCGAACAGUAGGCGACGGAGCCUCUCUCCUCUACCGCUUCCUCCUUCUCUUUUCUAUCUGUCCUAUAUGCCUUCCCUCCUCUUCCUUAUUUUUUUCUUCUCUCUUUGUAGGUCCAACAACAUCCCACUAGACAACAGCCACUAGUGACAACGGCUUUGGCAGAUGAGCAGGACAACCGGCCAACAAACAAGCAAACUCCAGGGAUGUUUUCGAAAGUUUCAAGGGGAUUAAACGACGGAUCUUAUUCAAAAUUUUUCCGGCAGGUUUUGAACUUAGAGUUAAAGUUGAUGAAGAGUAGCCUAGAAGAAAUUUCGGACGAAACUUCAUUUAUUUUAAUGUUGUGUUAUAUUUUCAUUUUUUAUUAUUACACUAUGUGUAUAAUUCUCUAACCUUACAUAUAAAUGAAAUAAAUUUGGUGGAUCGCAUAAGGGGAGAGAAUUAUUUUCUAA